rnacentral:rRNA from 1 species
UACGGAGGGUGCAAGCGUUAUCCGGAUUCACUGGGUUUAAAGGGUGCGUAGGCGGGUUGGUAAGUCAGUGGUGAAAUCUUCAAGCUUAACUUGGAAACUGCCGUUGAUACUAUCAAUCUUGAAUGUUGUGGAGGUAAGCGGAAUAUGUCAUGUAGCGGUGAAAUGCUUAGAUAUGACAUAGAACACCGAUAGCGAAGGCAGCUUGCUACACAAUAAUUGACGCUGAGGCACGAAAGCGUGGGGAGCGAACAGG